GCAGAUGCGAGAGAAAGCAUCAGAAGCACCGUGUCAUGAUUUCCUUGUCUCUCAUAUAUCAUUAAAAAGCUAAUGCAAAAUUGAUACAAAACGAUCAACAGUAAGAAUGCAGCAUCUUGCACUCAAUUUAUACCCGUAUAAGCAACUAAACUCCAGGAGAACAGUAUAGGGUGUUUCCCUGUCUUCUCCAUCACCCACCCUGUCAUGAUCAGUCCUUGUGCUUCAGGAGCAUAAGGACAGCACCAACCUAACCUCUCUGAAGAAACACAGCUAGACUCCGCCAUUAGAACUGGCCACCUGGUGAAACAUGGUGAUUGAAAACAAGUAGUAUGCUAUGAAAAGAAGUUGCCACAUAGAUCAUGUUUUGUUCCCCCCCCAAAUGACUAACAUUCUAUUUUCCAUGCCUGUCAAUGUACAGCAUUUUUCUUGGCUUUAUUCAGAAUUAAAUAUCUCUAGCUUAACAGUUUAUGUUAACAUUUACAGUAAAGAGAGAUUGAAAUUUUCAUCAACUUCUGAUGAGAAGAUUGUAAUGUGCUCCUAGAUAUAGCCCCUCUAUACAUCUACUCUUGAGAUAAUUGGGUAUGCUUUGACUGACCAGGACAUUUCUGUCUAAAAUAUUGUCCUUGCUUAACUGGUAACAUUUGAGAGCAAUUGCAGUAACACAGAAGGGAAAAUGCAGAAAACUAGAAGUUCUAAAGA